GUAGAGUUCUUCCAAUGUAGGUCUGUCUUUUUGACCACCCUUGUGGAGUUUGUUGGUCAGAAUGAGUUGAUGGAUGCUGUUGUGGUCAGUAGUUGAUGUUAAUCAGGAUGUUCAUUUGCUGAUCCCCACUUUUGGGAAAUGCAUUCUGAAGCCGGAGAUGUUGAAGUGGUACUUCCGGUGUGGAGGUCCUGUUCAGUGUUUACGUACUCAUUGUCUGUUUAGAGUUGUUUUCUGUUAGAAUGUAGUUGUUAUUAGAGAGACAAUUCAAGACAAUAUCGAUUGAGCGUUUUCAGAGAGGUUAUGUGUCAGAUAUGAGAUGUGAUCACUAAUCAAAACGUUAUGGAACGAUAUCCAGCUUCGGGUAUCGUUUCAGCGUGCACAUAAGCGAGCGCGGUGCGGUCUAUUGGCGUACGCGUUUCGGUUUAUAACCUUCAUCAGCGCCAGACACGCAUCGAUGAGAAUGUCUAACCUUGCAACACGCUAGAGAAUGUCACUCGUCAGUUGUCGUUCAUAUAAAGAAGUUUUGAGAAGUCGUGACGUGAUCGGAGGUUUGACUAGGUUUCAGAACAAUGGAUUCUUGUGUCCGUUUGACGUAAUGAGUUCUUUUGGUAUGUCGGCGGCGGGAGAUAUAUGUCUGUAUCCGGAAGCAACGGUGACGGUGUGGUUGGAAAGAGCAGCUGGCAUAAGUGAUAUGGACGAACAGAGCGAGUGAUGAUGAGCUCUCGAUGAGGUGAAGACGACAUCUGAUCGGUCUGUCUUUUUGACCACCCUUGUGGAGUUUGUUGGUCAGAAUGAGUUGAUGGAUGCUGUUGUGGUCAGUAGUUGAUGUUAAUCAGGAUGUUCAUUUGCUGAUCCCCACUUUUGGGAAAUGCAUUCUGAAGCCGGAGAUGUUGAAGUGGUACUUCCGGUGUGGAGGUCCUGUUCAGUGUUUACGUACUCAUUGUCUGUUUAGAGUUGUUUUCUGUUAGAAUGUAGUUGUUAUUAGAGAGACAAUUCAAGACAAUAUCGAUUGAGCGUUUUCAGAGAGGUUAUGUGUCAGAUAUGAGAUGUGAUCACUAAUCAAAACGUUAUGGAACGAUAUCCAGCUUCGGGUAUCGUUUCAGCGUGCACAUAAGCGAGCGCGGUGCGGUCUAUUGGCGUACGCGUUUCGGUUUAUAACCUUCAUCAGCGCCAGACACGCAUCGAUGAGAAUGUCUAACCUUGCAACACGCUAGAGAAUGUCACUCGUCAGUUGUCGUUCAUAUAAAGAAGUUUUGAGAAGUCGUGACGUGAUCGGAGGUUUGACUAGGUUUCAGAACAAUGGAUUCUUGUGUCCGUUUGACGUAAUGAGUUCUUUUGGUAUGUCGGCGGCGGGAGAUAUAUGUCUGUAUCCGGAAGCAACGGUGACGGUGUGGUUGGAAAGAGCAGCUGGCAUAAGUGAUAUGGACGAACAGAGCGAGUGAUGAUGAGCUCUCGAUGAGGUGAAGACGACAUCUGAUCGGUCUGUCUUUUUGACCACCCUUGUGGAGUUUGUUGGUCAGAAUGAGUUGAUGGAUGCUGUUGUGGUCAGUAGUUGAUGUUAAUCAGGAUGUUCAUUUGCUGAUCCCCACUUUUGGGAAAUGCAUUCUGAAGCCGGAGAUGUUGAAGUGGUACUUCCGGUGUGGAGGUCCUGUUCAGUGUUUACGUACUCAUUGUCUGUUUAGAGUUGUUUUCUGUUAGAAUGUAGUUGUUAUUAGAGAGACAAUUCAAGACAAUAUCGAUUGAGCGUUUUCAGAGAGGUUAUGUGUCAGAUAUGAGAUGUGAUCACUAAUCAAAACGUUAUGGAACGAUAUCCAGCUUCGGGUAUCGUUUCAGCGUGCACAUAAGCGAGCGCGGUGCGGUCUAUUGGCGUACGCGUUUCGGUUUAUAACCUUCAUCAGCGCCAGACACGCAUCGAUGAGAAUGUCUAACCUUGCAACACGCUAGAGAAUGUCACUCGUCAGUUGUCGUUCAUAUAAAGAAGUUUUGAGAAGUCGUGACGUGAUCGGAGGUUUGACUAGGUUUCAGAACAAUGGAUUCUUGUGUCCGUUUGACGUAAUGAGUUCUUUUGGUAUGUCGGCGGCGGGAGAUAUAUGUCUGUAUCCGGAAGCAACGGUGACGGUGUGGUUGGAAAGAGCAGCUGGCAUAAGUGAUAUGGACGAACAGAGCGAGUGAUGAUGAGCUCUCGAUGAGGUGAAGACGACAUCUGAUCGGUCUGUCUUUUUGACCACCCUUGUGGAGUUUGUUGGUCAGAAUGAGUUGAUGGAUGCUGUUGUGGUCAGUAGUUGAUGUUAAUCAGGAUGUUCAUUUGCUGAUCCCCACUUUUGGGAAAUGCAUUCUGAAGCCGGAGAUGUUGAAGUGGUACUUCCGGUGUGGAGGUCCUGUUCAGUGUUUACGUACUCAUUGUCUGUUUAGAGUUGUUUUCUGUUAGAAUGUAGUUGUUAUUAGAGAGACAAUUCAAGACAAUAUCGAUUGAGCGUUUUCAGAGAGGUUAUGUGUCAGAUAUGAGAUGUGAUCACUAAUCAAAACGUUAUGGAACGAUAUCCAGCUUCGGGUAUCGUUUCAGCGUGCACAUAAGCGAGCGCGGUGCGGUCUAUUGGCGUACGCGUUUCGGUUUAUAACCUUCAUCAGCGCCAGACACGCAUCGAUGAGAAUGUCUAACCUUGCAACACGCUAGAGAAUGUCACUCGUCAGUUGUCGUUCAUAUAAAGAAGUUUUGAGAAGUCGUGACGUGAUCGGAGGUUUGACUAGGUUUCAGAACAAUGGAUUCUUGUGUCCGUUUGACGUAAUGAGUUCUUUUGGUAUGUCGGCGGCGGGAGAUAUAUGUCUGUAUCCGGAAGCAACGGUGACGGUGUGGUUGGAAAGAGCAGCUGGCAUAAGUGAUAUGGACGAACAGAGCGAGUGAUGAUGAGCUCUCGAUGAGGUGAAGACGACAUCUGAUCGGUCUGUCUUUUUGACCACCCUUGUGGAGUUUGUUGGUCAGAAUGAGUUGAUGGAUGCUGUUGUGGUCAGUAGUUGAUGUUAAUCAGGAUGUUCAUUUGCUGAUCCCCACUUUUGGGAAAUGCAUUCUGAAGCCGGAGAUGUUGAAGUGGUACUUCCGGUGUGGAGGUCCUGUUCAGUGUUUACGUACUCAUUGUCUGUUUAGAGUUGUUUUCUGUUAGAAUGUAGUUGUUAUUAGAGAGACAAUUCAAGACAAUAUCGAUUGAGCGUUUUCAGAGAGGUUAUGUGUCAGAUAUGAGAUGUGAUCACUAAUCAAAACGUUAUGGAACGAUAUCCAGCUUCGGGUAUCGUUUCAGCGUGCACAUAAGCGAGCGCGGUGCGGUCUAUUGGCGUACGCGUUUCGGUUUAUAACCUUCAUCAGCGCCAGACACGCAUCGAUGAGAAUGUCUAACCUUGCAACACGCUAGAGAAUGUCACUCGUCAGUUGUCGUUCAUAUAAAGAAGUUUUGAGAAGUCGUGACGUGAUCGGAGGUUUGACUAGGUUUCAGAACAAUGGAUUCUUGUGUCCGUUUGACGUAAUGAGUUCUUUUGGUAUGUCGGCGGCGGGAGAUAUAUGUCUGUAUCCGGAAGCAACGGUGACGGUGUGGUUGGAAAGAGCAGCUGGCAUAAGUGAUAUGGACGAACAGAGCGAGUGAUGAUGAGCU